AGGAAAGCCUGCCACCUUCCUUUUUUCCAUGGGGAACAGCACCAGGCUGGGGAGAGAUGACAGACAUCACAGACGGCUUUUUAAAAAGAUUUUACCCAUUUAUUUGAGAAUGAGAGAAAGCACCAACCCAGGGCCGUGGAGCGGGGAUGAGGAGGGAACAAAGGGAGAAGGAGAAGCAGACACCCCACUGAGCAAGGAACACAGAGCUCCAUCCCAGGACCCCAGCCAGGAUCAUGACCUGAGCGGAAGGCAGAUGCUUAACUGACUGAGCCAACCAGGCACCCCUAUUUUUCUUCUUAGUUCUGUUCAUUAAACAUUUCUGGCUUUCUGUCUUCUGAG
rnacentral:lncRNA from 1 species